UCCGGUGUUCUCGCCGAUUUUGCCGUUGUCAUGACAACGGUUGAUUCCUGCUGAAGACCACGGAAUUGACUACUGAAUUUUCUGUCACAUGCGUUAUGCCUUUUUAAUAAAGUAAAGCUGGUUAAUGUUUCCAGAUUUUUCGACGAUGGCUUCAAGGCUUCGAGGAUAAGCUCGUCCAGGCAGUGUUAGCUGGACAGCCAUGUUAAAACAACAAACGAGCAAUUUACCCCCUCUGCGAAAUUUGCCCAGCUGGAGCCGGGUUGGAACCCUCGACCGGGUUCGUGACACUCUUCUAGUUUCCUGUGAAUGUGAGUAUAAAGCAGCACCAUCAGACAGACAGGGCCACAAGACUGCUCAGACCAGUGUAGGGAUGGACCCAGCUGGGGCGAGGGUAGCCUCACUGGAGAAAGACAUCCAGUUCCUUCAGCAGACGCAUAAAAGCACACUGGAGAAGCUACACGAGGAGAUUGAACACCUGAAGCGUGCUAACAAAGAGUUGCAGUAUCGACUGAUUAUGGGAGCAGAGCAUCUUCCUCCAAGAGAGCUUAGUCCAUCGGGCUUACAUGAAAAGCAGUGUCAGACUGGAGUCUUCUGCUCUGAAGAGAAGCCAGAGACAGUAUGUCAUAGUGUAGAACAUAAUGUGGCCAGCAUUAUGUCUCUGCUUCCUCUGAGGAUCCGAGAUGGUUCAUCCCAUCCUCCACGCACUCCAACCCUGCAGGAGUGUGAGGCCAUGAUUGGGCAGCUCUAUAACACCAACACCUUGCAGUGUCAGGAGCUGUUCCGUGUGAAGGCUGUUCUCAGAGACCUAUUAAACAGAAAGAAACUCUCACCUGAGGUCUGCAAUCUAACAAAGACAUAUCUUGCUGACAACACAAGUGGAGAGUGGAUACACAUUCCAAAACUAUCUCUUAAGACCUUGCCAAAAAUACAACAUCAGACCCAGGUGAGUGUGAGAGAGAAGGUUAUUUUUCCUGUCAUCAGACAGUCCCUGAGCAGCAACCUGACAGAAAGGCAGAAACGUGCCCAGGACGUGCACAAAAUGCGGCUCAGAAGAGCGAUCUUCUCCUAGCUACGUAACAGCUAUAUGCAACACAUUUUCUGAGCCUGCUGCAGAUUCACUCAUGCAAAACACAUCCUGGACUGUACCUUUCAUUAAAAAAAGGUGCCCGUCUGGUUCUGGAUCUGGACACUCUCUAUCAGCUCGCGCAUCUCACUGCUGACAUCAUAGUGCUACUUAACGUUCUUCGCAGCACCCCCUCUGGAAAUGGAAAUGCGGGGUCCCCCCCUCUCCGAUACAGAAUCCACCCCGUGAAUGUGUGUAUUGACGCCUCUACACAGACAGAACCUCCCUCCAGCUUUCAGUCUGAGGAAGAUGUCACCUUCUCUGAUCUGGGCUCUGACCAUUCUUCCCUCUUCUCACCUAUCAGUCCGCCCUACUCUCAGUGGUCUUCUUAUUUCACCUUUGCUGACUAUCCCAUGUCCCCAGGACGCACCCCAUUUUCUUCCCCCUACCGCUCUCCUCAAGAUUACGCACCCACCAGUCCUGUGAAUUAUCAAUAAAAUUACAUAUUACUCAUA